GACGAACGCUGGCGGCGUGCUUAACACAUGCAAGUCGAACGGUGAAGGGACCAGCUUGCUGGUUCUGGAUGAGUGGCGAACGGGUGAGUAACACGUGAGUAACCUGCCCCCUUCUUCUGGAUAACCGCAUGAAAGUGUGGCUAAUACGGGAUAUUCUGGGUCUGUCGCAUGGCGGGCCCGGGAAAGAUAUUGCUUCGGUGGGGGAUGGGCUCGCGGCCUAUCAGCUUGUUGGUGGGGUGAUGGCCUACCAAGGCGGUGACGGGUAGCCGGCCUGAGAGGGGGGAGGGUCACAGGGGGACAGAGACAGGGCCCAGCCACGCGCGGGGGGAGGCGGGGGGGAAUAUGGCAAAGGGGGGGAAGGCUGGACGCGGCGCCCCCGGGGGGGGGAGGGGGGCGUGGGGUUUUAACCCCUUUUGCGCGAGGGAGGGAGCCCUCGUCUUUGGGGGGGGUUGGAGGGUAGUUGAAUAAGAGGCCCGGGCUAACUAGGUC
rnacentral:rRNA from 1 species